rnacentral:rRNA from 1 species
AUGGCUCUUUGAAUCCUCAGUAUAAAGAGUCUAGCCUGCCCGGUGAAAUUUACAUUUAACGGCCGCGGUACUCUGACCGUGCGAAGGUAGCAUAAUCAUUUGUCUUAUAAUUGAAGUCUAGAAUGAAUGGUUUCACAAGAGUAAAGCUGUCUCUUUCUUUUUGCUAGAACUUUAUGACUAAGUUAAAAAGCUUAGAUACAAUUAAAAGACGAGAAGACCCUAUCGAGCUUAAGGAAAAUUUCAGAAUCUUUAACAUUAAUGGAAAGGGGAUAUCAGAUAAAACUUUGGUUGGGGCGACCCGAGAACAAAUAAAGCUUCUCAUGUAUAAAAAACUCUUAGGUUUAGACCCAUUAAUAAUGAUUAAAAAAAUUAGUUACCGUAGGGAUAACAGCAUAAUCUUUUUUGAGAGUUCAAAUCGAAAAAGAGGUUUGUGACCUCGAUGUUGGACCAAGAUAACCUAAAGAUGCAGAAGUCUUUAAAGGUUGGUCUGUUCGACCAUUAAAAUCUUACGUGAUCUGAGUUCAGACCGG